rnacentral:ncRNA from 1 species
UAAAAAGCAAUGAAAAGAAGAGUAGAUAAAAUAGUUCAUUUUCAGAGAGCUCUAGCUGGUGGAACGGAGCAAUGAAUUUUUAUUGAAGAAGAUCUUGGAGCUGCACACUGAGUCUGCUUUGCAGAGGUAGGAUGUGACGGUAUACCCCGUUAUAGGUAUAGAGUAUCUCAUUUUUUGAUGUACUUGAAGAGGUGUAUACGGCAACGCAUACAUAAACUGAGGUGGUACCACGAAUUUAUAACUUUCGUCCUCAAG